UGGACGACGUGAGUGGGGAAGUAGAGAAGCUGUGAGAUGAUGCUGACCAUUCCCGGGUCUCCGUCACGUGAAGAAGCGGGUGGUGAGAGACGCACGAGUGUCCGCCAAGAAAAUAAUGACGACUAGUAAAAAAUGCUUGCGCUUAGCAUAUAUUUGUGUAUGCGCGCUGUGUGCUAUAGUGCUGACUUUGCGGGAAAAAGUGACGUUGAUGUUUUUAUUUAGGACGGCGUCACAGUGGUAGUAUUGGUAUGAAGAAAAACCGAUUCGAUGAAUCAUAGGCGCCAUAUGAUUCAUUGUUUGACCUACACCCGCAUGUUUCGCGCCGAAAGUUUGUAUUUGAAUGUCCUAAAGUGAAUUGAACACU
ensembl:ncRNA T28B11.16 ncRNA